rnacentral:lncRNA from 1 species
ACCAAACUCCCAAAUUCUUUGGUGUAAUAUCAAAAAAACCUUGUUUCAAACUGCACAUAUUAUCUCUAGAUUUUCCUAUAUCAUAUUUGUUGAGUAAUUUUGAGUAUCAAGAUUUCUCACUUGUAAUUUGCAGAUAACACAAUCAUGCCCUUUCGGAUAAUGAUCAGUUGGUUAACAAUGUGUUCACUUUACUCUAGGUUUUUAGGCAUCGUUAUUAACCUCCAUCUUUCCUUUGGGACUUAAUGAUUCUUUCCUUCUUAGAGGUUGAGGCUCGCGGUUUUUUGAAGGAUAUGUCUUUGGCAACUCUGCAACAAGAUUGGUGGAAGCAAUGUUUAUUUUUUUUUCCAUGAUCUCUUAGGAGCACUUCCAAUCCUUUUUUCCAUGAUCUCUUGGGACUUAAUGAUCUUCUCUCCUUAAAAAUCAAGGCUCAUGAUUUUCUGAAGGUUAUAUCUUUGGCAUCUCUGCAGCGAGAUUGGGAAGCAACGUUUGUUUUUUUUUC